rnacentral:rRNA from 1 species
GACGAACGCUGGCGGCGUGCCUAACACAUGCAAGUCGAGCGGGGGGAGUACUUCGGUACAAACCUAGCGGCGGACGGGUGAGUAACACGUGGGUAACCUGCCUCAAAGUGGGGGAUAACCUUCCGAAGGGAAGAUUAAUACCGCAUAACCCAUAGCUUCCGCAUGGAAGCAAUGGUAAAGAUUUAUCGCUUUGGGAUGGACCCGCGGCGCAUUAGCUAGUUGGUGAGGUACCGGCUCGCCAAGGCCACGAUGCGUAGCCGACCUGAGAGGGUGAUCGGACACAUUGGAACUGAGACACUGUCCAGACACCUACGGGAGGCAGCAGUGGGGAAUAUUGAACAAUGGGCGAAAGCCUGAUGCAGCAACGCCGCGUGAGUGAUGAAGGCCUUCGGGUUGUAAAGCUCUGGCUUUUGGGACGAUAAUGACGGUACCAAAGGAGGAAGCCACGGCUAACUACGUGCCAGCCGCCGCGGUAACAC